CGGGCGCAUCGGCGCCCGGCGCAUAUAUUGAUUGUUUUAGAAGUGUCCCUGGUGCAAUGGGCUUGCGCAUGCGGCGUUUUCAUUGUUUUGAUCGCGCAUGCGCCGUUUCUUACCGUCCGCUCUCGGAUAAUUCCGACGCAGUUCGCCAUUAGACUGGUUCCUGUUCGAUUUUGCAAUAGAAGAUUGGUAAUCAUCUAAUAUGUGAAGCUUUGAAAAUAUAAGGCAAAUUAAAACCAGAGAUUUUUUUUUAAAUAACUCUUUUAGAGAAAAAAUAUCAUAAAUGCACAGUUGUUGAGAAAACUUCUCUUUUUUAUUUAAAUAUUUUUACAUAAAAGAAUAAACCACGAAUGCGCAGAAUGUAUCUUACAAUAAUCUUAGAAAAUUGGUGAACCAGUCUAUUAUCUGAUUACCCGGUUAUGACAUGUACGGAUCAGAUGCAAGCGUCCAGUAUAGGGAUAUCGAGGUCAACACGCUGGCGAUAUAGGGGAGUGUGCGGUCAAGGUCAAAAUUGCGAGAGGCUGAUUCGAAGUGAAAUACCGCAACAAAAACGUUCGAUUUGGACAUUAACGGGUCUAACUGAAUGAGUCACAAUGUUUCUACCACAAGAGUUGUAAAUAUUGAACAGAUAGGGCUUCAUCUUCAAGAUGACAAAAGACAGCACCAACAAUAAUGGGCCAGGACUGAGGAGUUCCAAGAAAUGAGUAUUCUUCAGCCCACAAAUAUCAGUGCUGCCCCGCUGCCCAAAACCAGAGUGUGGCAACAAGUAAAUGGACCUUGACAAAUGUCCUCUUUGUUAGAGCCAGUCCCUUACACAAGUGGCCUACUUUUGCACAGCUGAGGUUGUUAUCAAACGCAGCAGUAGGUAUGAAAUGCGGAAACUGUUCCAACUUGAUCUUCAACAGUUAAGUUACUCCUCUUCACAAUAUUUGAACUGAAAACAAUCGGUGACGAUAUUGCACUUCACUUCUACCUCACAGUGCUCUUCCCUAUAAACGCUAGAGGAAAGUUUGAAAAUGAAAAACUUGUCAUUGCAAGUGUGAAAGGACCAAUUGAUUCUUAACGAAACAACCUGCCUCACUGCUUUAGCUGACACUACAUCAAGUCAACACAAGGCAAUUUGUUUUUCUCGCAACCUGACCGAUAUGUUUAAUCUGAUCAAAAUUGUACACAACCACUGGUAUUCGUUAAAGUUAUACAUAUUGUGUGUAGUGUAGGUAAGAUCAAUGUCAAGGUUAUUUUGGCUAUAAAAAAGGAAAAUGAUUCUUGAUUCAUAACAUCGAUGAAAUAGCAAGCCUUAAGUAUUUUCGAUAAAGUGAUACAUAUAUUUUGUGGUGAUGUCAUAACCUUGUUUCACUGUUUUUGUAGAGAAAACACAUGUUAUAAAUAUAUUAUCACAUUUGUGUUUUUUUUAGCUCGACUAUUUUAAGAAUAAGGUGGGCUAUACUAUUCGCUCUGGUGUCGGUGUCCGGUUCAAGUUUUAGGGCAAGUUGGGAUUUUCACUUAUAAGUCCAAUACUUUUCAUUCAGUUGACUUAAUACCUCACACAGUUGUUCAGGGCCAUCAUAUAAUGGGAAUAGAUAACUCCUUUAUACAAGUUAUGGCCCCUGAUUGACUAUCAAACUUAGGUUAAAGUUUUAGGGCAGGUUGGGAUAUUUAUUAAUAACUUCUCUACCAUUCGUUCAUUUAACUUAAUACUUGACACAUUUGUUCAGAACCAUCACACAAUGAGGUUGCAUAACUCUGUAUUAUCCUCAAUACAAGUUAUAGCCGCUGAUUGACUUAGGUUAAAGGUUUAGGGCAGGUUGAAGUUUUAGAACAAGUUGGGAUUUUCACUAAUAAGUCCAAUACCCUUCAUUCAAUUGACUUAAUACUUUACACAGUUGUUCAGUGCCAUCACAUAAUUAGGUAAGAUAACUCCAUAUCAUAUUUUAUUCACACAAUGGCCCCUGAUUGACUAUGGAACUUAGGUUAAAAUUUUAGGGCAGGUUGAUAUAUUUAUUGAUAACUUCUAUACCCUUCAUUCACAUUAUCCUUAAUACAAGUUAUGGCAUUAUCCUUAAUACAAGUUAUGGCCCCUGAUUGACUUAGGUUAAAGUUUUAGGGCAAGUUAAAGUAUUAGGGAAAGUUGGGAUUUUAAUAAAAAAGACUUCUAUACCUUCAUUCAAUGCACUUAAUACUUCGCAGAAUUAUUGACGACCAUCUUACACUAAGGAACAUAACUUCAUGUUAACCCUAAAUACAAAUUAUUGCCCUUGAAUGUUUUUUUUUCUUCUCUUCUUUUAAUUUCUUUUGAAAGGCACAUUUUUAUAUUCCUAACCACAUUUUCAUAAAGGGAAAACAAGAUAUUUGAAUGACCUGUGUCAUUGUUCGGGCGGGCUGGUGUUAGAGCAGCGUCAAAGUCACCUUAUGUAUCGAAUAAUUUUAGUUAGGUUUGACAUACAGAGACCAAACUUGGUAUAUGCAAAGAGUUUAUGGAGACCUUUUAUGGGAAUGCGUUUGAGGCCCCUAUGAUCAAGGUCAAGGUUACAAUUAAUAGAAAAAGGGUUGGUUUUGAAUAACUUAAGUAAGGGUCUUCUAAUUGGUACCAAAUUUGGUAUAUAGGAAGAGUUUAUAGAGACCUUUCCUGAGAUUGUGUUUUUGGCCCGAGAGUUAUGGUCUAGGUCAAGGUCAAAAUAGAAAUAUGGUAAGUACUGAAUAACUCAAGUAAGGGUUGACAUAGUGUGACCAAACUUGGUAUAUAGGACAAGUUUAUGCAGAGCUUUAAUGGAUGCUUUUUGGCCCCCUAGGGUCAUUGUCACUGUUACUAAAAAUAGAUUACUGUUUCAGUUAAGGCUGACAUACUGUGACCAAACUUGAUAUGUGUAGGAAGAGUUUAUAGCGCGGACACGAGUAUGUGUACUCUGACAUUUAAAUAUCUCGUGUGACUUUGAUCUUUGAGUUAUGGACCCUGGUCAAUUUCACUGCUCAUCGUCUCAAUGAGGACAACAUUUGUACCAAGCAAUAUGGUAAUCCAUCAAUGCAUAAGUAAAUUAUAGCACGGACACGAAAUGUUACAGCCAGACGGACAGACAGACUGAUGAAGUGUUUCUGUAAUCCCCUCCCCACUCCGUGGCGGGGGAUUUGAAAUUUGAUAUUUAUAAAAUAGUGUACUUCCAUUUUUGCCAUUGUUGUGUUUUACCAUUCUGUCAAUAUGUUAAGUGACAGUUGUGCCAAUAUCUUACAGUCACAAUAUAUGACUUUACAGAAUCGUAACAUUAUUUAAUAACCUCAUCAUAAUGAUUACUUAUCUUCCUAUUGUUUUCUUAAAUGUUCUGCAAUUUCAAUAAUUAUUUACAAAACAUGUUCCUAAAAUCAGAGACAUUUGACAGUAUUAUAAGAAUUCUCAUUCAUUGUUUUGUCUAUCUGAACACUGAUGUUUGCAUAAUGCUCUGUAGAUAUCACUAUGCUUUUGCUAAGUUUAAUUCCCAUUAAUGUUUAAAUUAAUUUCUCAUAUGUACAUAUAUAUUUAACAAUGUUCUGUUUUUCAACAUCUCACUUAAACAGUUACAAAAUGUUAAUUUACAAGAAAUACUUGUAUUUUUAUCACUAUGUCAUUUUGCCAUGUCACCCUUCUUUACUACCUGUUAUGUUUAAAGCUGCACUCUCACAGAUUUACCAUAUGUACAACUUUUUAUUGUUUGUCUUGGAAAGCGCAAAUUUUGUUUUAAUAUCCGCAAACAAAUGAUUUAAGAUUACAGACAAAAGAUCAAAUCACACAUUUUCAUAUUUCCAUUUGAAAAAUAAUGUCUUAUGGCUUAAGCUGUUACUAACAGUUAAAGAAAAUUGCAUAAAACAUCAAUUUUUGAACUUAAGUAUAAAAAUCUGCAAUCUUUUUUGUCAGCUGUCUUAUAUAACUGGUUUCAAUGGAUUUUC